ACACAGGAAACUUAGAGUUUGAUCCUGGCUCAGGACGAACGCUGGCGGCGUGCUUAACACAUGCAAGUCGAACGGAAAGGCCUCUUCGGAGGUACUCGAGUGGCGAACGGGUGAGUAACACGUGGGCAAUCUGCCCUGCACUUCGGGAUAAGCCUGGGAAACUGGGUCUAAUACCGAAUAGGACCUUUAGACGCAUGUCUUUUGGUGGAAAGCUUUUGCGGUGUGGGAUGGGCCCGCGGCCUAUCAGCUUGUUGGUGGGGUGAUGGCCUACCAAGGCGACGACGGGUAGCUGGCCUGAGAGGGUGUCCGGCCACACUGGGACUGAGAUACGGCCCAGACUCCUACGGGAGGCAGCAGUGGGGAAUAUUGCGCAAUGGGCGCAAGCCUGAUGCAGCGACGCCGCGUGGGGGAUGACGGCCUUCGGGUUGUAAACCUCUUUCACCAUCGACGAAGGUCCGGGUUUUCUCGGAUUGACGGUAGGUGGAGAAGAAGCACCGGCCAACUACGUGCCAGCAGCCGCGGUAAUC
rnacentral:rRNA from 1 species